AUAUUGGCUAAUGGAGGGAACUCUGAACCAGCCAAGCCGCCUGCAGGAUGACGGUUCUACUGAUUGUAAAUUGCUUUUGUACAGGAAGAAAACACACUACGUGUAAUGAAUUGACGGUACUGUAAUUUUAAUGAUCGGUUAUCUCCGUGUAAGACGCUGCCGUAUUACGGAGGAUUCAAGCGUUAUCCGUAAUCCUUGGGUUUAAAGGUUCCGUAGGAGGCCUUAUGAGUCAGCGGUGAAAGUUUUUGGCUUAACAAAAAAAUUGCCGUUGAGACUGUAGGGCUUGAAUUUUUGUGAAGUGACUAGAAUAUGUAGUGUAGCGGUGAAAUGCUUAGAUAUUAAAUGGAAUACCAAAUGCGAAAGCAGGUUACUAACAAACGAUUGACGCUGAUGGACGAAAGCGUGUGUAGCGAACA
rnacentral:rRNA from 1 species